UACUAGCCCAAUGCUCUUCCAACUGAGCUACGCGGUCAGAACCGUCCUGACCGCGUAGCUCAGUUGGAAGAGCAUUGGGCUAGUA